rnacentral:piRNA from 1 species
UCCGUACUCCAAACCAUCAGGUGGAC